rnacentral:tRNA from 1 species
GGGCGCUUAGCUCAGUGGUAGAGCACUGUGUUCACACCGCAGGGGUCACUGGUUCGAGCCCAGUAGCGCCCACCA